rnacentral:rRNA from 1 species
GUGUCAGCAGCCGCGGUAAGACAGAGGGUGCAAACGUUGUUCGGAAUUACUGGGCGUAAAGCGCGUGUAGGCGGCUACGUAAGUCGGACGUGAAAUCCCGCAGCUCAACUGCGGAAGUGCGCUCGAAACUGUGUAGCUUGAGUCCUGGAGAGGAAGGCGGAAUACUUGGUGUAGAGGUGAAAUUCGUAGAUAUCAGGUAGAACACCAGUGGCGAAGGCGGCCUUCUGGACAGUGACUGACGCUGAGACGCGAAAGCGUGGGGAGCAAACAGGAUUAGAUACCCCCGUAGUCC